rnacentral:rRNA from 1 species
CAUGCAGGCGGUUAGACAAGUCAGAUGUGAAAUCCCCGCGCUUAACGUGGGCAUUGCAUUUGAAACUGUUUAGCUAGAGUUCUGUAGAGGGGGGUAGAAUUCCAGGUGUAGCGGUGGAAUGCGCAGAUAUCAGGAGGAACACCAAUGGCGAAGGCACAUCUCUGGGCCGUAACUGACGCUGAGGAGCGAAAGCGUGGGGAGCGAACAGGAUUAGAUACCCCUGUA